rnacentral:lncRNA from 1 species
CCAGUUUUUAUCUUCUUUGGCAAUACCUCCCCCUCCAAUCACUGCCCUAUCAGCAUCUUAAAAGAUUUGUGUUUCAACCACUAUAAUGACUUCUUCACCUUCUGCUCUACUCCUCCAUCGAAAAUGCAAAAUCUGUUACCUAUUUUCUGUUCAGCUUCCUCAACAUCUCCAUGGUAUUUGAUUCACAGGAUUCCCUUAUGCCUCUUUGAAACUCCCGCCCUAUGGAAUAGUCUCCCUUACUCCUCUCCCCUCUCUUAAUAUUCCUUCACAGGUUCUCCCUUCUUGACAGGUCUCCUCGAUGAUGGUAUUCCCCAGAGUUCCUGUCGUCUUCUCGCCCCUCUACACAGGCGCGCACGCGCACGCGCGCACACACACACACACACACACACUCCUGGUAAUCUCAUCUCAUGUCCCAUGGCUUUGACUACUGUCUUUUUGUUUUUUUGUUGUUUUUGAGAUAGGGUCUCACUCUGUUGCCCAGGCUGGAGUGCAGUGGCGCAAUCUUGGCUCACUGCAGCCCCAGCUUCUGCCUCCUGGGCUCAAGCAAUCCUCUCACCUCUGCCUCCUGAGUAGCUGGGACUACAGGCACACCCCACUACACCUGGCUAAUUUUUUUGUAUUUUUUUGUAGAGACAAGGUUUCGCCAUGGCCCAGACUGGUUUUGAACUCCUGGGCUCAAGCGAUCCCUCCCCCUCGGCCUCCCAAAGUGCUGGGAUUACAGGCAUGAGCCACCGCGCCCGGCCUAAUUUUUUAAUUUUUUCUAGAGAUGGGGUCUCGUUAUGUUGACCAGGCUGGUCUUGAACACCUGACCUGAAGUGAUCCUCUUGCCUCAGCCUCCCAUAGUGCUGCGAUCACAGGUGUAAGUCACUGAGUUUGGCCAUUAUUCCAUUUCUGUACACAAAAACCUUUCUCAUUCUGUGCUAUAACUAGUUAGCAUUUAAUUGGGUGGAUGUGGUAUAACUAGUGCCUUGUUGAUAUUGAUGCAUAUUUACAUGGUUUUGCUGUUAUAAACAAUGGUCCCUUGCUAUUAUAAAUCACACUGCUAUAAGUAACCUUGCAUCUAAAUUACUUCAAAUGUGUAACUAUAUGGGUAGGAUAAUUUCUAGAAGUGGAAUUGUGAACCAAAGUUUUAGGUGCAUUUGUAAUUUUGAUUUAUAACCAAUCUUUUCACUGAUCUACUUCUCUGCCUCUAAUUUCUACUAGGUGUUUGUUUGUUUGUUUGUUUGUUUUGAGACAGGGUCUUGCUCUGUCACCCAGGCUGGAGGACAGUGGUGCAAUCACGGCUCACUGCAGCCUCAACCUGCCACCUCAGCCUCCUGAAUAGUUGGGGUGUGUGGCAGGUGUAUACCACCACUUCCAGGUUUUUUUGUUGUUGUUGUUUAAUAGAGAUGAGGUCUUGCUAUAUUGCCCAGGCAGGUCUCACACUACUGAGCGCAAGCGAUCCUCCUGCCUAUGCCUCCCAAAGUGCUGGGAUUACAGGUGUGAGUUGCCAUGCCUGGCCCGGUUAUCUUUCUAAAGCAUAAAGCAACCCUGUUGAUCCUCUGCUUAAUUUUGAUGAUUAAGUAGUAUGUUCAAAAUAUAGAAAUCCAUGUAUUGAUAAUGAUCUUUUAAAAAAAGUAAAAGCCAAAAUAUCAGCUACUCAUCCUACACCAUUGAAAGUAGUGACCAUUAAACUGCUCUACCUCUACCUCCACCUCUCUACCUCUCUACCUCUCUACCUCUACCUCUACCCACGGUCUCCCUCUCUUUCCAUGGUCUCCCUCUCAUGUGGAGCCGAAGCUGGACUGUACUGCUGCCAUCUCGGCUCACUGCAACCUCCCUGCCUGAUUCUCCUGCCUCAGCCUGCCGAGUGCCUGCGAUUGCAGGCACGCGCUGCCACGCCUGACUGGUUUUGGUGGAGACGGGGUUUCGCUGUGUUGGCCGGGCCGGUCUCCAGCCCCUAACCGCGAGUGAUCCGCCAGCCUCGGCCUCCCGAGGUGCCGGGAUUGCAGACGGAGUCUCGUUCACUCAGUGCUCAAUGGUGCCCAGGCUGGAGUGCAGUGGCGUGAUCUCGGCUCGCUACAACCUACACCUCCCAGCCGCCUGCCUUGGCCUCCCAAAGUGCCGAGAUUGCAGCCUCUGCCCAGCCGCCACCCCGUCUGGGAAGUGAGGAGUGUCUCUGCCUGGCCGCCCAUCGUCUGGGAUGUGAGGAGCCCCUCUGCCUGGCUGCCCAGUCUGGAAAGUGAGGAGCGUCUCCGCCCGGCCGCCAUCCCAUCUAGGAAGUGAGGAGUGCCUCUUCCCAGCCGCCAUCACAUCUAGGAAGUGAGGAGCGUCUCUGCCCGGCCGCCCAUCGUCUGAGAUGUGGGGAGCGCCUCUGCCCCGCCGCCCCAUCUGGGAUGUGAGGAGCGCCUCUGCCCGGCCGCGACCCCGUCUGGGAGGUGAGGAGCGUCUCUGCCCGGCCGCCCCGUCUGAGAAGUGAGGAGCCACCCCAUCUGGGAAGUGAGGAGCAUCUCCGCCCGGCAGCCACCCCGUCCGGGAGGGAGGUGGGGGGUCAGCCCCCCGCCCGGCCAGCCGCCCCGUCCGGGAGGGAGGUGGGGGGGUCAGCCCCCUGCCCGGCCAGCCGCCCCGUCCGGGAGGUGAGGGGCGCCUCUGCCCGGCCGCCCCUACUGGGAAGUGAGGAGCCCCUCUGCCCGGCCACCACCCCGUCUGGGAGGUGUGCCCAACAGCUCAUUGAGAACGGGCCAGGAUGACAAUGGCGGCUUUGUGGAAUAGAAAGGCGGGAAAGGUGGGGAAAAGAUUGAGAAAUCGGAUGGUUGCCGUGUCUCUGUAGAAAGAAGUAGACAUGGGAGACUUUUCAUUUUGUUCUGCACUAAGAAAAAUUCUUCUGCCUUGGGAUCCUGUUGAUCUGUGACCUUACCCCCAACCCUGUGCUCUCUGAAACAUGUGCUGUGUCCACUCAGGGUUAAAUGGAUUAAGGGCGGUGCAAGAUGUGCUUUGUUAAACAGAUGCUUGAAGGCAGCAUGCUCGUUAAGAGUCAUCACCAAUCCCUAAUCUCAAGUAAUCAGGGACACAAACACUGCGGAAGGCCGCAGGGUCCUCUGCCUAGGAAAACCAGAGACCUUUGUUCACUUGUUUAUCUGCUGACCUUCCCUCCACUGUUGUCCCAUGACCCUGCCAAAUCCCCCUCUGUGAGAAACACCCAAGAAUUAGCAAUA